AUACGUAGGGGGCGAGCGUUGUCCGGAAUGAUUGGGCGUAAAGGGCGCGUAGGCGGCCCGGUAAGUCUGGAGUGAAAGUCCUGUUUUUAAGAUGGGAAUUGCUUUGGAUACUGUCGGGCUUGAGUGCAGGAGGGGUAAGUGGAAUUCCCAGUGUAGCGGUGAAAUGCGUAGAGAUUGGGAGGAACACCCGUGGCGAAGGCGACUUACUGGACUGUAACUGACGCUGAGGCGCGAAAGUGUGGGGAGCAAACAGGAGUAGAUGCCCUGGUAGUCCACACUGUAAACGAUGAAUGCUAGGUGUAGGGGGUAUCGACCCCUUCUGUGCCGCAGUCAACACAAGAAGCAUUCCGCCUGGGGAGUACGGCCGCAAGGUUGAAACUCAAAUGAAUUGACGGGG
rnacentral:rRNA from 1 species